rnacentral:misc_RNA from 1 species
GCAAACUUGGUCAUUUAGAGGAAGUAAAAGUCGUAACAAGGUAACCGUAGGUGAACCUGCGGUUGGAUCAUUAACAAGUUUUUUUGGCUCACCCCUAAAAAGGUGAGUCAAUUGACACCUGUGAACUGUAAAAAAUGUUUUUUUUGGGUCUCGCGUAAGGAGAGCAAUCUUUUGUGUGAGGCCCAGAAUAUUUUUUAAACACCUAAAGCCAAUGACUAAAGUUUUUAAAAGAAAAACAACUUUUGACAACGGAUCUCUUGGCUCUCGCAUCGAUGAAGAACGCAGC